rnacentral:rRNA from 1 species
AUGACGAAGCAGGAGGUGAGGGGUGUGGACUACCUCAAGAUGGAGAAGAACAGGUGGAGAUGGAGAGCCAUGAGUCCAAGAUGCUGGUGGCCACCUAGUCCAUCAACACCACAACCUCCGAGAUCAUCAGGCCCAAAAAAUCAAAGCUAUUCCCUUAGCUACUUGAGCUGGUCGCUAGGUCAAUACCACACUCCUCACUCAUUCAUUUACCAUAUGCAUCCAGUACUGGUACCUCACAUGUUUCACUACUUCCUGUAUCUCUCGUUUUUUGCAUAG